CACCCUAACCACCCUAAUGCAUGAUAUUUUUUGACCUUUGAUUAUUUAUUAGCUUGAACAGUUUGUCAUAGUGCAUCGUCAACGUUGUGUGUCAGUUUAACUUAUUUUUUGUGAUUUUCUUUCUGUUUUUUCUUUUUUAUUUAUUUGAGAUAAUUUGCAUUUUGACCAAUUUGAUCAUCAUGGACUUCGACACAUCAUUUCAAUUGGCAGAUGAACAUGCUGUCGUUCAGGUAUUGGAUUUUGAUCCAAUGGAAUGUGAAAAUUACGGCAAUCAAACGCAAAUUACGCUCAUCGAGCUGCAAAAUGUCACAUAUAGCGAAUUAUUCCUAGAAAACGUUGACAAUGAGAUGGUUGCCGAAAAAUUUGAUGAUCAGAUGGUCUCAGACGACAUAGGAACAAUACCGUCGUACGAAAGCUUUGUUCGAUACUUGAAUAGCUGGGAAACCGAUGACUUUGAGAAUGAGGUAAACAGCACAACGAUAGAAAAUUUCCAUCGGAUCAACGUGUAUGAAACGCUCGAUGAUAUGAAAUGUCCCGAUGAUUGUAACUGCGAACGGUGUCUUCAGAUUUAUUUUAUUGACGAGACUAGUGACACUGACUGUUUCAAUGUCACCCAUGCAGCCGCAGCUGGCGACUUCGAAAAUUUCCUUUGUGUGGAAAAUGUUACCAACGCAAAUAUGGUAUAUGACUUUACACGCCUGUGGAAUGAAGCAGAACUUACGGAAUAUUGGGAAUUUCCGCGACAAUAGAUGUAUACGAAUACAAGCUUCUGUUAAGAAACAACAUAUUUUGGCACAAUCUAAUAGAGAAGAAAACGUUACAGCGGGAGCAGCUGGCUUCUAUGAUUCUUCCGCCUUUAAUUGAUUAAUGGAUCCGUAAGAGCUACCAAGCGGCCCCAUAUUAUCAUUGUGUGAUCAAAGCUGCAAACAAGUGAAAACUCUCUGUGCAUUCGAAAUUAAACAGCCUCGCUGCAUUUUUAGUCUGCUUAUUCCAAUUUUACGUACCGGAUGUGUUUUUUAUCAACUUUUUAUUUAUGUUUAAAAUGAAAAAUAAUUUUUAUGUAAAAUUUACUAUCAUAAGGUAUGACCGAGUGCUGCAAGUAUUAUGACAUUGCUAUUGCGAAGAUUCGAAAUAAUCGCGAAAUUUGGUUUUUUUUUACCUUAAACUUGAAAAAUUUUUGGAUUUUUGAUCCGUUGAUAAAUAAAAGAAAACUUAACAUUC